CGAUGCCUAGGGGGGCAGCAGUGAGGAAUAUUGGUCAAUGGGCGCGAGCCUGAACCAGCCAAGUCGCGUGAGGGAAGACGGUCCUAUGGAUUGUAAACCUCUUUUGUCGGGGAGCAAAAGACGCCACGUGUGGCGUUCCGAGAGUACCCGAAGAAAAAGCAUCGGCUAACUCCGUGCCAGCAGCCGCGGUAAUACGGAGGAUGCGAGCGUUAUCCGGAUUUAUUGGGUUUAAAGGGUGCGCAGGCGGAAGCUCAAGUCAGCGGUAAAAUUGAGAG
rnacentral:rRNA from 1 species